rnacentral:rRNA from 1 species
UACGGAGGGUGCAAGCGUUAUCCGGAUUCACUGGGUUUAAAGGGUGCGUAGGUGGGUCUGUAAGUCAGUGGUGAAAUCUCCGAGCUUAACUUGGAAACUGCCAUUGAUACUAUAGGUCUUGAAUACUGUGGAGGUCAGCGGAAUAUGUCAUGUAGCGGUGAAAUGCUUAGAUAUGACAUAGAACACCAAUUGCGAAGGCAGCUGGCUACAGGGAUAUUGACACUGAGGCACGAAAGCGUGGGGAUCAAACAGG